rnacentral:rRNA from 1 species
UACGUAGGGUGCGAGCGUUUGUCCGGAAUUAUUGGGCGUAAAGAGCUUGUAGGCGGUUUGUCGCGUCUGCUGUGAAAAUCCGGGGCUCAACCCCGGACUUGCAGUGGGUACGGGCAGACUAGAGUGUGGUAGGGGAGACUGGAAUUCCUGGUGUAGCGGUGAAAAUGCGCAGAUAUCAGGAGGAACACCGAUGGCGAAGGCAGGUCUCUGGGCCACUACUGACGCUGAGAAGCGAAAGCAUGGGGAGCGAACAGG